CUACGGGGUGCAGCAGUGAGGAAUAUUGCACAAUGGGGGAAACCCUGAUGCAGCAACGCCGCGUGGAGGAUGACGCAUUUCGGUGUGUAAACUCCUUUUAUAUGUCAAGAAAAUGACGGUAGCAUAUGAAUAAGCACCGGCUAACUCCGUGCCAGCAGGCCGCGGUAAUACGGAGGGUGCAAGCGUUACUCGGAAUCACUGGGCGUAAAGGACGCGUAGGCGGGUUGGAAAGUCAGGUGUGAAAUCCUACAGCUUAACUGUAGAACUGCACUUGAAACUUCUAAUCUAGAGUAUGGGAGGGGGAGAUGGAAUUAGUGGUGUAGGGGUAAAAUCCGUAGAUAUCACUAGGAAUACCUAAAGCGAAGGCGAUCUCCUGGAACAUUACUGACGCUAAGGCGUGAAAGCGUGGGGAGCAAACAGGAUUAGAUACCCGCGUAGUC
rnacentral:rRNA from 1 species